GCCUCCUUAGGACUGAGUCAUACUAUGCAGCCACUUCUGCACAGUGGGAUAGGACCUCUACUCUCGCCUGUAUUGUUUUAAGAAAACAGAAAAGGGGGAACUGUGGUGAGCCGCUUCUGCCGUUUCUGCAGACUAUGGUCGCCAUUACAAGAUGUCGCUGGCUCCACUGUGGUCUGUGACAAACAACUUCUUAUCUGGGAAAGUUGGCACAUGAUUUUUCACCACCCUGUGAGAAAGCUCCAUGCGGCAGCUUUGCAUUGGGGCUUGGGAUGCUUUAUUAAGGCUGGGAGGGGCAUCCGGGAGAGAGAAGAAGAAAUAUCAGGGGCCUGAAUAAACUGUUGAAAGAAGAUUCCCGAGUUGCGUCUUCCUUGCGGGCAAGGGGUCGCGACAGGGCACUAUAUAUUAAAUCAUUGGCCAACUUCACUAUCAGCUCCUAGCUUUUGUCAGUUCUUAGCAUACAAAAAGUCACUUGUCAUUCAUCACUUUUGAAGAUUCUGUGGAUUUUAGGAGCUCCAUGCCAAGAAAUGGAAUGAAGAUCAAGUGUAUAUUUCAUGAUAUCACAUUUAAAAAAAGAAAGUAAAGAGUCAUUUGCUUCUACAUCUAGAGAUAACCAUUGACAGCCCUUUGGUGUGUAUCCAUAAAAAUCAUUUUAUAUGUCCAUUUAUCUAUGUGCAUAUGUAUAUGUAUUUUAUCUUAAAUUUUUAUUCUAAAAUGUACAUACUGUAUAAUUUUAAUCAUUUUUGAGUGUAUAAUUCAGUGACAUUUUACAAUAAUACAUUCACAUUGUUAAGGAACCAUAUAUAAUACAUUCACAUUGUUAAGGAACCAUCAUCACUAUCCAUCUCCAUUGUAAAUGAUAACAUAAAACAAUAACUUGACUUUAAAGAAAAUAAGAUAACUUACUCUGAACCAAGUAUGAGUGGCACAGAAACAUGGAUUCAAGUUGCCUGAAUGACUUGUUCUGCUGUGGAAGAGAUUACCUGAACUUAUAGCCAAAGAACAAAAGUCAUGAAUCAAUAUUUUUAAGAAAUAUGUUGGUGAGGCCAGUAGGUAGGUGAGCUGUAGCAGAAAGGGAAAGUUUUUCCUAUAGGUAUUGACUGUUGCAGCCUUCUUAGCUUUAGGGUUGGUGGAGACUAGAGGUCUGUUAAGCCGUUAAUACAUUUUAAGAGGUUUACCUAGGAGAAUGUUAGGUGAGAUACAAAAGUUUAAGUAAAUGACUCUUUUUCUAAGGCCAUAAUGUAGCCCAAGCUAAUUUUGACUCUCAACCUGCAACUUGCCAUCUCUCCAUAAUCAGGAUGUUCUCAGCUGAGGUCAGUCUGCUUGAUCUUUAAUAUAGAUGGCACUGGGGAAUAAAACUGACUGAUUUAUGUUAUAUGCAUGUACAACUAUGUCACAAUAAAUUUGAUUAUUAUGUAUAAUUAUAAUGCACCAAUAAAAAUUAAUUCAAAAUAU
rnacentral:lncRNA from 1 species